CAAAGGUUUGGUCCUAGUCUUCCUAUUAAUUUUUACUACGCUUACACAUGCAAGUAUCUGCAUUCCCGUGAAAAUGCCCUUUACUACCAAAAAGUAGAACAGGAGCGGAUAUCAGGCACUUACAUUGCCAAAGACAUCUUGUUUAACCACGCCCCCAAGGGAACUCAGCAGUGAUAAACAUUGAAUAUGAGCGACAUCAAGCUCGAAUCAGCGAUAAUAAACAGAGUCGGUAAAUCUCGUGCCAGCCACCGCGGUUAUACGAGAGACUCAAAUUAAUCCAAUCGGCCCAAAGAGUGGUUAGACGUGUAAAUAAAAUAUGGUUAAAAACUAACUCUGCUGUCACACGCAAAAGUUUAAAACAAACACAACAUCGAAAGUAACCUUACAAUAGUAACAUUGAACCCACGACAGCUAGGGCACAAACUGGGAUUAGAUACCCCACUAUGCCUAGCCAUAAACUUUGAUUUAUCCGCCCGAGUACUACGAGCAACAGCUAAA
rnacentral:rRNA from 1 species